CCAACAUCUGAUUCAUGUCAGUUCUGGCAUUGGUUGUCGUAUCUAAAGCAAAUUGUUGCUUUCCCGGUUCUGGGUACGAUGAGUGAUCUCUGCUGCACUCUUCAUAUUUUAGUCAUUGGCUGAGAGAACCCUUAGUCCUCAUCCAGGUUAGGAUGUACUUCUGUCUUCCUCUGUGAGCUUUAGCUCUGAUGAGAGCUUAGCUUUUGAGCUCUUGCAGUGCCGUCCUGGUCUAUUUUGUUUUUCUGAUAUUGCCAUGCAACCUGCUCUCCCAACCCCAUUCUGUUCUUGCUCUUGUCAUCUGUGACAGCAGAAGGCACCCAUCUACUUUGGUUCUCUUCUAGGUGGCCUUUGGGAGAAGAGAGGAAGAAUCUGCAGUCUCUUAAUGCCACUGUGAGGAGAGCAGAAGACAUGGCUUUGCUGAUGGCACCACCUUAGGUUUAUUUGGUUGUAGAAUAGGGUCUGGGACCCGCCAAGGUUCUGCUACCAUUGCUGCUGAAGACAGUGGCCUCAAAUAGUGCCAUAGCUAGGGCUCUGGCUGUGGAACAGUUCUAUGCCCUUAUACAGCGUGGUCCUGGAAACCUGACUAGGAAUGGUGAGAGAAUAAAGAAGGAUACGGACACGCAGACACAGGUACAGAAAAACUGGGGUCAGGAGGGCUGUGCUGAUUGAUGGAGGAUCCACAACAGGACGGAAGCUCAGCAUGUCUAUUAUAUACAGUUGGACAGGGAGGAGGGUUAUUAUAUAGAGCUAAACAGGGAGGCAGAGUUAUAUACACAGAUAGCAAGGAGAUGUUUGAACAUUGCAUACAACUGAACAAGGAGGCAGAUUCAGCUAGUCUCUGUAGGAACAGUCUCUGCGAUGGAGCAGUCUUCAGCCCAUCUGGAAGAAGAAAGCUACACUGGACAUUUUCUUCACUGUCAACAUGCACACUCCGACCAGAGGAAGGCUUUGCCGUUUCUCUAACCUCACCCAUGGAAAGCUUUGCUGCUCCCACGGGUCUGAGGCACUGAGAUCCUUGAUAUGGCAUGUUAUUUAUGCCAUCCAUAAAGGCACCUGCCUUUUGUCCCAGCAUUCAGAAGGCAGAGGUAAGUGAAUCUCUGAGUUCAACGUCUACAGUCCAGGAUAUCCAGAACUACACAGAGGAACUUUGUCUUGAAAAAAAAAGCAAAAAGAAGAAGAGAAGAAGAAAAUAAUUACUUGUGAGACUUAAACUUCUGACUGGCAUUAGACUUAUGAGUAGGAGGCAAGAAGAUAAAGAUGGAGCAUAGUGAAGCUACAUUUUGUAUCAAUUUCUCAGUUAUUGCUUCGUGGUAGGGAAACAUAGAAUAACUCCUACAUUUUUUAAUUCACUUAGAUGUCCCUAUGGCUGAGUAAAGUGAUUAUGGUAAUAGCUUCCUGCAUACUCUUGAAGAGAAUGAUAGUCUUGAGGGACUCGCUGUGUUAUAUAGAUAAUAAAGGAAAGAACCUCCACUGAA